AGCGAACGCUGGCGGCAGGCCUAACACAUGCAAGUCGAGCGCCCUUUCGGGGGAGCGGCGGACGGGUGAGUACCGCGUGGGAAUAUGCCCUUCUCUACGGAAUAGCCUCGGGAAACUGAGAGUAAUACCGUAUACGCCCUGUGGGGGAAAGAUUUAUCGGGGAAGGAUUAGCCCGCGUUGGAUUAGGUAGUUGGUGGGGUAAUGGCCUACCAAGCCGACGAUCCAUAGCUGGUUUGAGAGGAUGAUCAGCCACACUGGGACUGAGACACGGCCCAGACUCCUACGGGAGGCAGCAGUGGGGAAUCUUAGACAAUGGGGGCAACCCUGAUCUAGCCAUGCCGCGUGAGUGAUGAAGGCCUUAGGGUUGUAAAGCUCUUUCAGCUGGGAAGAUAAUGACGGUACCAGCAGAAGAAGCCCCGGCUAACUCCGUG
rnacentral:rRNA from 1 species